AGCGUAGGCGGGUUAUCAAGUUGGAGGUGAAAGCCCAGGGCUCAACCUUGGAAUUGCCUUCAAAACUGAUAGCCUAGAGUAUGGAAGAGGUAAGUGGAACUCCGAGUGUAGAGGUGAAAUUCGUAGAUAUUCGGAAGAACACCAGUGGCGAAGGCGACUUACUGGUCCAUGACUGACGCUGAGGCUCGAAAGCGUGGGGAGCAAACAGGAUUAGAUACCCUGGUAGUCCACGCUGUAAACGAUGAUUGCUAGUUGUCGGGUGGCAUGCCAUUCGGUGACGCAGCUAACGCAUUAAGCAAUCCGCCUGGGGAGUACGGUCGCAAGAUUAAAACUCAAAGGAAUUGA
rnacentral:rRNA from 1 species